GGGGCCGAAAUUGGUUUCGAUUCAUGUUAUUUGACGAUAGAGUGCAACACAAGUUUGAGUACGACUUGUUACAACAGACUCACAAACUCAAAUGGUGAUAAUUCACUAGACGGUUUGGUAGUGGAUUGGCAUUUAGCUAAUUCAGAAAUGGGAUUUGACAAUUAUGUUGAACCUACUUCAGAUUACCAAUCAACUUACGCUUUAGCGGCAUGAGUUCUUGGGUUGUUUAACACCCGAGUAUAAAAGAAGUUAAACACACUCUCUUUUUAUAUUUAGAGAAUAAAAAUAAAAUGUCAGUUACUGGAUAUGUUCUGUGCAAAAGAAAUCCACAUAGUUGUUUGUUAAUUGCUACUAAUAGAAAUUAACUAAGUUGUGAAUGACUUUACGAAGAAAACAGAGAACACGGCGGUUCGAUUCCGCCCGGCUCCACUA
rnacentral:tmRNA from 1 species